rnacentral:rRNA from 1 species
AUGGCUUUAGUACAUGAUCUUUGGUUGCCAAGUAGUUUGGACACGAUGACAGGGCCAAUUUGGCCAUCUAUUGAGGCCGAAAAUUUUGAGUUGAGGCCUGGACUUAUUGCUCUUGUCUUGCAGACUGCUUCUUCUCCAUCCCCACGCUGCUGCUUCUUCUCCAAGUCCCCUGCUACUUCCUUCUGCUACUUCCUUCUGCUUCAGGAUGACACCCCUUUGCUGAUUCUCUUCUCUGUAUCUCAACCCCCACUGCUUGCUGCCCCUUCUCUCUGCUGCUCGCUGCUAUCUCUUUCCCUCUCUCUUCUCUGA